rnacentral:rRNA from 1 species
UACGGGGGGAGCAAGCGUUGUUCGGAUUUAAUGGGAGUAAAGGGGGCGUAGGCGGCAGGUGAAGUAAGAUGUGAAAGUCCUGGGCUUAACCUGGGGACUGCAUUUGAUACUGAUUGGCUUGAAUGCAGGAGAGGAUAGCGGAAUUCCCAGUGUAGAGGUGAAAUUCGUAGAUAUUGGGAAGAACACCGGUGGCGAAGGCGGCUAUCUGGACUGUGAUUGACGCUGAGGCGCGAAAGCGUGGGGAGCAAACAGG